CCCACCCUUCCCGGGAUGGUUGGAAUAGUUGGAGCGGGAGACUAGGGCCUCCGCUGGCGGCGGGAGCGGGACGGGCGGAGGAAUGCGAGCUGAGGAACGGAAUCAGAGGCAGCUGACACCAAUCUCAGUGAGCAGGAUCUAGGAGUCCAUUUCUCUUUCAAGAUUCCAGGGACUAACAGUAAGCCAUCGGAGAGACCAUCAAAUCCCACCCCCUCAUUUGACAGACAGGAAAAGGAAAGCCUGCAGAAGACAGGUGGCUUGCCAGAGAUCACUCGCAGAACUGGUGUUCAAAGAGACUGUUUCUGUUAAACCCAUUUUGUUGCACAAGAGAAGAGCCCCUUCCUUUCAACUUUCCAGCUGGAACCAAGACCAGACCUUUCAAACAAGCCACUUUCAGUAAACGCAAAACAGGAACUAUGUGUCCCAGGCUGGUCUCAAAAUCUU
rnacentral:lncRNA from 1 species